rnacentral:lncRNA from 1 species
UGACUCACUUCCUGUUCUCCCCAGGAAACCCGAGAAAGCAGGAUGAGGCAAGAAUGCUGAGCUUCGUUGGGGGCGUGGAAUUCAUGAGUAUGGACACAUUGUUGAAUUAUUGACUUUGAGACGGGCUACAUCCUGCCUAGUAUGGAGGCCGGAAGGCUCUGGGGAAGCAGGAUUCUUUUUUCCAAGGGGGAGUCCACAGCAUUUCCUCCUUUUUCCUAUCCCCUUUGCCCAACGGACGUGUCAGAAGGAGACCUCUUAGGAGUGAUCCCUUAUUCGGUGCUUUGUUUUUUGGGCAUCGUCUACUCGGAACGAUUACCAAGGUGGAGCUCAUUAUGUUCCCCAGCACCUGCAACCAACCACUUGCCGUAGGGUGGACUUUAGUGGAAAGACUCCUCUCCGCGGGGGCUUAUCCAAGGAGGCACCAUGCAUGACUGAAAGGCAGCACUGCAGAGUGGUGAGAGCGGGGCUGUGUGGUUUGGUGCACUUCGGUCUGAAUUCUGGCUCCUCUGCUUCUUAGAUCUGUGACCUGGUUAAGUGCUUUGUCUUCCCUAAGUCUCAGUGUCGCCGUCUGUAAAGUACAGGGAUAAUUUUGCCUACAUUCUGGAUUGUUUUGAAGGCUCAAUGAAUAAACGUAUGUAAAAGACUUGGCAGGCCGUGAGAGCUCAUGAAAGAUGGUAGUGGAGUUGGUUGUAGUUAGUAGGAUUGCUGUUGCCAUUGAUUAGUGAUGAUCGUGUGAAAAAACAGCUCUGUGUAUACUGGAAAUAAGGCCGUUGCCAAAGUUAAAUACCAUCGAAAAGCAAGAAGCCUUUUUCGUCACCCUGUGCAGGGGGUGACGAUGCUCGUGGACACCAGUUGAGGAAAGUGCAUCUGGAUGUGCAGCCGUCGGCUCAUUGAAGGUGGAAGCACCGUAGAGCUCGGCUUUCCUAAGACAAUGCAGAAAGCAAUCACCUUGCAUCCUCCGGAAGCCUUUUGCCUGUAAAACCUCCCUCCUAGAUAAGCAUGGAAGGAAAAGUAGGUGCCACAAGAGAAAUAGGAGGGGAGGUGGAGGUGGAGGAUGGGGAGAGAGAGUGUGAAUUAAUUUGGAUCAAAUGGAUGAGAAUCAGAAGUAUUUAUUUGGAAUUGGUGUGAAUGGGGCACACGGGGAACUGAA